UGCUCUGUAGUGUAGCGGUAACACAGAUGGUUUUGAGCCAUCUAUCCCUGGUUCAAAUCCAGGCGGGGCAU
rnacentral:tRNA from 1 species